rnacentral:lncRNA from 1 species
UACUUAGCGGGGGCCAAGACAAACUACCGGGCUCACCCUCAUAGUCAAAACAUAACUAAAAAGGAAAAAGUCUUAUACAUAGCAAAAGAUCAUAAGCAACGUCCCCGGAAUGGAGGACUCACCAAUAACCUCGAUAGAAAAUCGUAUUAGCCACGCGGAGGACGAGGGUCAAGCGGUGCUCCGGUCCCUACAUGGUGACA